UACGGAGGGAGCUAGCGUUGUCCGGAAUUAUUGGGCGUAAAGAGCUCGUAGGCGGUUUGUUGCGUCGGCUGUGAAAUCCCGAGGCUCAACCUCGGGUCUGCAGUCGAUACGAGCAAACUAGAGUGUUGCAGGGGAGACUGGAAUUCCUGGUGUAGCGGUGAAAUGCGCAGAUAUCAGGAGGAACACCGGUGGCGAAGGCGGGUCUCUGGGCAGUAACUGACGCUGAGGAGCGAAAGCGUGGGGAGCGAACAGG
rnacentral:rRNA from 1 species